rnacentral:rRNA from 1 species
CAGCAGCCGCCACGGGAAUACGUAGGUGGCAAGCGUUGUCCGGAAUUAUUGGGCGUAAAGGGCUCGCAGGCGGUUUCUUAAGUCUGAUGUGAAAGCCCCCGGCUCAACCGGGGAGGGUCAUUGGAAACUGGGAAACUUGAGUGCAGAAGAGGAGAGUGGAAUUCCACGUGUAGCGGUGAAAUGCGUAGAGAUGUGGAGGAACACCAGUGGCGAAGGCGACUCUCUGGUCUGUAACUGACGCUGUGGAGCGAAAGCGUGGGGAGCGAACAGGAUUAGAUACCCGGGUAGUCCCUGUCUCUUAUAU